rnacentral:rRNA from 1 species
UUUCCAGACUCCUACGGGAGGCAGCAGUGAGGAAUAUUGGUCAAUGGGCGCGAGCCUGAACCAGCCAAGUCGCGUGAGGGAAGACGGUCCUAUGGAUUGUAAACCUCUUUUGUCGGGGAGCAAAAGACGCCACGUGUGGCGUUCCGAGAGUACCCGAAGAAAAAGCAUCGGCUAACUCCGUGCCAGCAGCCGCGGUAAUACGGAGGAUGCGAGCGUUAUCCGGAUUUAUUGGGUUUAAAGGGUGCGCAGGCGGAAGAUCAAGUCAGCGGUAAAAUUUCGGGGCUCAACCCCGUCGUGCCGUUGAAACUGGCGUUCUUGAGUGAGCGAGAAGUAUGCGGAAUGCGUGGUGUAGCGGUGAAAUGCAUAGAUAUCACGCAGAACUCCGAUUGCGAAGGCAGCAUACCGGCGCUCAACUGACGCUCAUGCACGAAAGCGUGGGUAUCGAACAGGAUUAGAUACCCUCGUA